AUGCACGCUGGCGGCGUGCCUCAUACAUGCAAGUCGAGCGAACAGACGAGGAGCUUGCUCCUUUGACGUUAGCGGCGGACGGGUGAGUAACACGUGGGUAACCUACCUAUAAGACUGGGAUAACUUCGGGAAACCGGAGCUAAUACCGGAUAAUAUUUCGAACCGCAUGGUUCGAUAGUGAAAGAUGGCUUUGCUAUCACUUAUAGAUGGACCUGCGCCGUAUUAGCUAGUUGGUAAGGUAACGGCUUACCAAGGCAACGAUACGUAGCCGACCUGAGAGGGUGAUCGGCCACACUGGAACUGAGACACGGUCCAGACUCCUACGGGAGGCAGCAGUAGGGAAUCUUCCGCAAUGGGCGAAAGCCUGACGGAGCAACGCCGAGUGAGUGAUGAAGGUCUUCGGAUCGUAAAACUCUGUUAUUAGGGAAGAACAAACGUGUAAGUAACUGUGCACGUCUUGACGGUACCUAAUCAGAAAGCCACGGCUAACUACGU
rnacentral:rRNA from 1 species